GUAGGGUGCGAGCGUUGCCCGGAUUUAUUGGGCGUAAAGGGCGCGUAGGCGGCCACGCACGUCCGUUGUGAAAUCGCCCGGCUCAACUGGGCGGGGUCAGCGGAUACGGUGUGGCUAGAGCAAGCUAGGGGGCAAUGGAAUUCCCGGUGUAGUGGUGGAAUGCGUAGAUAUCGGGAGGAACACCAGUGGCGAAGGCGGUUGCCUGGAGCUUUGCUGACGCUGAUGCGCGAAAGCGUGGGGAGCGAUCCGGAUUAGAUACCCGGGUAGUCCACGCCGUAAACGAUGCGGACUAGGUGUCGGGGGUAUCGACCCCCUCGGCGCCGCAGCUAACGCAUUAAGUCCGCCGCCUGGGGACUACGGCCGCAAGGCUA
rnacentral:rRNA from 1 species